rnacentral:lncRNA from 1 species
AAUAUCAUGUUUUUCUGGUAGAAAUGUGAGGUGAAGCAUCAUCCAGAGGUUUUAGUUCUGCUGCUGAAGAGGUUUGACUUUAACAAUAGUAACAUGACGUUUGUCAAAAACAACCGAGCAGUGAAGAUUACUCGCACUUUACAGAUCUCAGAGAAUCAGACGUAUGAGCUUUAUGCUGUCGUGGAUCAUGUGGGUGAACUCAAAGAUGGACGUCAUGCAGUGAUUGUGUCUCUUAAUGAUGGUCGAUGGUACAACUACCAUAAUAACACACACAUAUCGCCGUUCCAGCACAGUGACACUGAGACUUCCCAGACGGUUCAUCUUCUUUUCUACAGGAAACAAAGAACUGAUACUUUUAGUCAGGACAUCAGGGAGUUGUUCACUUGUGAAGGUGUCCUGCCUGCUACAAGUGACACCAACCAGAGUCCAUGUACUGAGACUAUGAGACAGAAAGAAGAGUUUAAAGAAGCUGUAGAAGAUGAUGAAGACGCUGCAGAAACUGGUUUUACUGGUGAAAAUGAAGAAACGCUAAUCAAAGUCUAUGUUGAGCCAGGGAAGCCUGAAGCUCAUGAGUGUAAUGUGGAGGAUCAGGACAGUGGAGCUGAUGUCAGACAACAUGAACCACACAUUGAGGAGGACAGAGAUGGAAACAAGCCAGGAAAUAAUGAGACACAAUGAUGAGAACGGGAGGAGAAACGGAGAAACUGACGACCUGACAGAUAAAACAGAGCAGAGGAUCAGGAUGAUGACGGUGUAGAUGACAAGACAACAUGUAAUCUGGAAUCAGAAAUCGGAUAUUUACCAGCUCCAAUGAGCGCGUCCCACCUGCAUGUCCCAUCCAAGUGUGUCCCUGCUGCAGCAGGAUGCCACAGCACAACACAGAGUGUAAAAACGUGGUCUGUCCUCGCUGUAAGUGGGAGUUUUGUUUUGUGUGUCUGAAGCUCACUGACGACUGUCUGAAUCUGAGGAUUGACCUUAAAUAUCAAACUAUAAAUAACAUUUAUAGUGAAGAAUUUGAGCCAUGUUAUAGACGUGUGGCUCCCAGACAGACGUCUAUACCUGUGUGGAGGAAUUCAUGAUGGCGCAGCAGCUAAAGUGAUGAGCUUCAGUUUUUCUUUGAAAUAUUGUUUCUUAAUAUUAACUGUGACUAAAUUCUUGGUUUAAACACACUGUCCUACAACAAUCAAUGUGUACAUGCAUGUGUUUCUUCAAUGACCUCAACAAAUCAUUUUGUGCUUUUGUGAUGGUGACAUUUCCUCAUUCAGCAACUCAGCUUUGUUGUCUGUUAUCUGAGGUGAUAAUGGAAAAGUACCUGAGAUGCAUCUGAUGGAAUGAGACCAGCCCAGUGUUUGACUAACUUGAAGGUCUGUUUACUGGAAAUGACUGUGGUUGUAAUAAACCAAUGCGAUAACAAAAUACUAAAGAAAAG